AGAAUUUGAUCUUGGUUCAGAUUGAACGCUGACGGCGUGGAUGAGGCAUGCAAGUCGAACGAAGCAACGGGGCAACUCGUUGCUUAGUGGCGGAAGGGUCAGUAAUACAUGGGUAACUUACCUCUAACCUGGGGAUAACGACUGGAAACGGUCGCUAAUACCGAAUGUGGUGCAGAUGAUGAGAGUUGUUUGCAUUAAAGUUGGGGACUGUAAUAGGCCUUGCGGUUAGAGAGAGGCCCAUGCGAUAUCAGCUAGUUGGUGAGGUAAUGGCCCACCAAGGCUAAGACGUCUAGGCGGAUUGAGAGAUCGACCGCCGACAUUGGGACUGAGAUACUGCCCAGACUCCUACGGGAGGCUGCAGUCGAGGAUCUUUCGCAAUGGGGGAAACCCUGACGGAGCGACGCCGUGUGAGUGAUGAAGGCCUUCGGGUUGUAAAGCUCUUUUGUCCGGGAUCAAGAGAGGGUCGUGAAUAGCGAUCCGAUAUGAGAGUACCGGAAGAAUAAGCGCCGGCUAACUACGUGCCAGCAGCUGCGGUAAUACGUAGGGCGCAAGCGUUAAUCGGAUUUAUUGGGCGUAAAGGGCGCGUAGGCGGGAAUGUAAGUCGGGCGUGAAAUACCGGGGCUCAACCUCGGAACGGCACUCGAAACUGCAUUUCUUGAGGGUAGACGGAGAAAGCGGAAUUCCGCAUGUAGCGGUGAAAUGCGUAGAUAUGCGGAAGAACACCGGUGGCGAAGGCGGCUUUCUAGUUUACUCCUGACGCUGAGGCGCGAAAGCAAGGGGAUCAAACAGGAUUAGAUACCCUGGUAGUCCUUGCUGUAAACGAUGUGUACUUGAUGUAGCUGGAGCUCAACCCUAGCUGUGUCGUAGCUAACGCGAUAAGUACACCGCCUGGAGAGUACAGUCGCAAGGCUGAAAUUCAAAAGAAUUGACGGGGGCCCGCACAAGCAGUGGAGCAUGUGGUUUAAUUCGAUGCAACGCGAAGAACCUUACCCAGAACGACAUGCAGAGGAAGAUAGCAGAAAUGUUAUCGCCCGCAAGGGCCUUUGCACAGGUGCUGCAUGGCUGUCGUCAGCUCGUGCCGUGAGGUGUUGGGUUAAGUCCCGCAACGAGCGCAACCCUUAUCGUUAGUUGCCAACAUUUAAGGUGGGGACUCUAACGAGACUGCCUGGGUGAACCAGGAGGAAGGUGAGGAUGACGUCAAGUCAGCAUGGCCCUUAUGUCUGGGGCUACACACGUGCUACAAUGGUCGGUACAGAGGGUCGCUAAGUGGUGACACGGAGCAAAUCCUUAAAGCCGGCCUCAGUUCAGAUUGUAGUCUGCAACUCGACUACAUGAAGUUGGAAUUGCUAGUAAUGGCGGGUCAGCAACACCGCCGUGAAUACGUUCCCGGGCCUUGUACACACCGCCCGUCAAGCCAUGGGAGUUGGUUUUACCCGAAGCCGCUGACCUAACCGCAAGGAAGGAGGCGUCUAAGGUGAGGCUGAUGACUGGGGCUAAGUCGUAACAAGGUA
rnacentral:rRNA from 1 species